rnacentral:rRNA from 1 species
UAACACGUGAGUGACCUGCCUUUUAGACUGGAACAACUUACCGAAAGGUGAGCUAAUGCCGGAUGAGUUAUAUAAGUGCAUGUUUAUAUAGGAAAAGUUGGGGAGACCUGACGCUGAAAGAUGGACUCGCGUCCCAUUAGCUAGUUGGUAGGGUAAUGGCCUACCAAGGCGACGAUGGGUAGCCGGCCUGAGAGGGUGGCCGGCCACACUGGGACUGAGACACGGCCCAGACUCCUACGGGAGGCAGCAG